GAGGUUGUAGCUCAGUGGAAGAGUGCUCAUCUUGCAUGUGAAGGCACUGACUGGGUUCAAUCCCCAGCACUACA
rnacentral:tRNA from 1 species